CGGGAGCCCCGAGCUCGGUUCCAGCGCGGAGCAGCUCGGGGGGCUCGGUCCCCGCCGCGACCCCCGCAGAGCCCCCCUGGUGCACAGCAGCGACGAGCUGGACUCGCUGCUCUCGCAGGACGAGGAGGACGAGGCCGAUGUGAAGCGGGCACAGGAGGACGCGCGGAGGCUCCCGGCGCCCCGGGCCGGGCCCCGCUCCCGGGGCUGGUCCCGCUCCAAAUCCGCGUCCCUCGGUGUCAUCGCCAGCGUCCCCGGCGAGGAGGCUGCCGAAAUUCCCGCGUUCGCCUCCCAGCAGAGCCUGCUCAGAGG